UCUACAUGAACAGCUCUGGGGGGUGCUUGGUUGGCUGAGGUGUCAAUGCACAGAACAGACCAGUGGAAGAAGAGAAGCAGAUACACAGAGGAGUGGGUGACUAUGAAAGGGUGAAUUCGCUUCGGCCUCAGAGUCAUUGACUUCAAGAUCUUGCCCAGAGAAGCUGUGGAUGCCCCAUUCAUGGAAGUGUUCAAAUCCAGGCUGGAUGGAGCUUUAAGCAACCUGGUCUGGAGAUAGCUUGUCCGGUGGGUCUGUACCUCCUGAGGUGCCUCCUGCACAGCCAUGAGACACCAUCUUCUGUGGAUCUCCAGAGGAGAGCUGGUGCUUCUGGGUUAAAUUCAGAGCCUGCACUUCUAGCAGCAGAAAAGUGUCAGCAGGAGCUGAUCCCAGCAGUUCAACGUAAUCACUGAAAGCAGAGAAAAUCCAGGAGAUUUCACUGGAACUGAGCAAGAGCUUGACAGCUGGCAAAUGCUAAUCAACAAGUGGCGCUGGCAGCAGGGAAUAGAGGUGUGUGCAACCCUUGUCUCUUCACCACGUGAAAGCCAUGUUGGGUAUACGUUCAUCAGCCAGUGUGGUGGCUUCUGGGGCCAGCACUGCAUCUGGAGAUCCUGAGUCUGGCAGACCCCUGAGGAAGCAAGUCAUCACAUGGUGAAGGACCAGCUGCUUUGGUAAAUUAAAAGAUCACCAUAGACCAAGUUAUUGUUGGCCAGCGGCUGUUUGAAAGCUACCAGACCUUUCCUACUUGUUGUACAUGUCUCUUUGAGACAGGAAAAUGUCUCUGCUGGGGAGUUGUGACCUGCUGGUGCUGUCACCCAGGGCAAUGGAAAACCUGCCUCCCUUGCGGCAAGAGCUGCAGAUGCCAUCCGGCUCCUUCCCUUGCUUUCAUUUUUGGAUACCAGCCAUGGGUUGCUUAUCAUUGGUCCUGAUCCCUAAAGCUGAGGUGCUGAUUCUAAUCUGCAGCUGCAGCUGGGUUUAAAUCUUGAUCUGCAAUCGGAGCUCUGGACACAGCUGAACCUGUGGUGGAGAAAGCUCCAGCUUUGUUGAAAAGUAAACAAGAAACCAGAGAAGAAAGUAACGCGAUCCAAGAAGAUCAACAACAUCGUUCUAUGAAAAUCAAUUCUAAUUCUAACCUGGUCAAUACAGAGCGGCCCCGCUUCACCAGACGGGAGAUGAAUGUUGCGUGCUUGCCCACGGGACUGUGCUGCCCGCCCUCCCCAGUGUGCUGCGGGUGUUGGUUUGCUGAAGCUGAGACAACCACAAGAUGUUUCCAUAAAGAACAGAAAAGUUGGAUUGAAUGUUCUCUCUCUUCAAAUGAAAAUACCUAUUCUUAACCUGAACCAAGGCCAGUGUCUCAUGCAACAUGGAUGAGUCAGAUUUUAAAGUUUCUGCAAUCCCUCUGAUGCUUGGAGUGAUGCAGGAUGAGUCCAGCACAUAACAUCAAUGAGGCUCCUCUGUGCUCUCAGGGUGUUCAUGUGGAGCCAGUGAUGGAGUUGCUGUUCCAAUUCAUGCAUGUAUCGCUGCUUUAUCCUUUGGGAUGAACUCAUCUGGGGCUUCGACUCAAGAAACAGCAGGAGAGAUGCUCAAAACAAGCCUGUGAAGCUGAAAAUAGCACACCCCAGUUGCUGCUGCUUUCAAGAUAAAGAUGUCACCAGUGCUUGCCUUCUUGUGCAGUGUUCAUAAAAUGAGAUUAGAGUGAUUUACAAUAGUGAAAGAUGGAACAAGACUAAGAGGAGAUGUGACUCAUUAGACAUCAUCCUGUGACUGUUGGAAGGAACCUGCAUCGCUCAGGAAGGUAUGCUGUGAUUUUCUAGGGCAGUCUGGGGGAUUUAGACCUACCCUUGAGGUGUUUCAGUACCAAAGCAUCUGUGUUCCACCCAAAAACAUGACCUAUCAUCCCUGAUUUUGUCUUUUGUGAAACCAGCCAAGCAAUUCAGAGCAAAGGCUCCCAAACUCCUUCCUGACUAUCUAAGUCUACUUUAUGAUAUUGCUUUGAAAAGGUUAUCUUGUAAAUGUUGUGUGAGAUUUUAAAAAGAAAAAAAAAAGAUACUUUUGUUUGAAUUCAAUAUGGGGGAAAUAUACUUUGAUUGUUAUUUAUAGUGCUUCAAAAUUAUCAGUAUUAGUUAUGGCUAGAGAGUCUA